AUCCUGUGGUGAGGACAGACGAUGACGUACUCCUACAGUCGCUCCCAAGCUUCUGGUAUCGACUCGCCCUUCGUCUGCUGGAAGCUUGAAAUCCUCCCACGAAGAGC
rnacentral:snoRNA from 1 species